GACGUACGCUGGCGGCGUGCUUAACACAUGCAAGUCGAACGGAGUGGCGAACGGGUGAGUAACACGCGGGUGAUCUGCCUUGCACUUCGGGAUAAGCUUGGGAAACUGGGUCUAAUACCGGAUAGUGCAAGAUGAGCUCGCGGCCUAUCAGCUUGUUGGUGGGGUAAUGGCCUACCAAGGCGUCGACGGGUAGCCGGCCUGAGAGGGUGUACGGCAACAUUGGUACUUAGAUGCUGCCCAGACUCCUACGGGAGGCAGCAGGGGGGAAUAUUGCACCAGGGGCGGAAGUCUGAUGCAGCGACGCCGCGUGGGGGAUGAAGGCCUGCGUGUUGUAAACUCCUCUCGACAGGGACGCGGUACCUGUAUAAGAGGCACCGGCUAAGUACGUGCCGGCAGCCGCGGUAAUAC
rnacentral:rRNA from 1 species